rnacentral:rRNA from 1 species
UGGGGAAUAUUGCACAAUGGGCGCAAGCCUGAUGCAGCGACGCCGCGUGAGGGAUGACGGCCUUCGGGUUGUAAACCUCUUUCAGUAGGGAAGAAGCGAAAGUGACGGUACCUGCAGAAGAAGCACCGGCUAACUACGUGCCAGCAGCCGCGGUAAUACGUAGGGUGCGAGCGUUAUCCGGAAUUAUUGGGCGUAAAGAGCUCGUAGGCGGUUUGUCGCGUCUGUCGUGAAAGUCCGGGGCUUAACCCCGGAUCUGCGGUGGGUACGGGCAGACUAGAGUGCAGUAGGGGAGACUGGAAUUCCUGGUGUAGCGGUGGAAUGCGCAGAUAUCAGGAGGAACACCGAUGGCGAAGGCAGGUCUCUGGGCUGUAACUGACGCGGAGGAGCGAAAGCAUGGGGAGCGAACA